UGGAGCGUUGAGCCACCAGCUACGGGCUGCUUUGUGUGCUUGGCGGAGAGGUUCCCAAAGGUCGCCAUGAUGUGCUGCCUGCCCACGGUGGUUCUCUUAGCGGCUGUAGCCGCUUCUGGAGCCAUACUUGCAUGCUUCAAGCUUGGUAACGCGCGCCCGAAGAAGCCGACGCAUGGUUCUUCAGAAAAGUCCAGUUGCCGCCUGCUGGUUGAGGACAGCUAGCGCAGCCUACUGAGUGCCAAUUGCAAUGUUGUCGCUCAAAGAGUGGACUGAAUGUAGCGUUCCUGAAACACACCAUGCAAGAGAAAAGUCUCAAGCCACGGAAAUAUCAGAGAGCACGCCCGAAGCGGUUACAGCUGGCGAGAGACAAUUAACAGAAGAACAUGACGCGCAACGAGAUCGACCCACUUUCGUAA